rnacentral:rRNA from 1 species
UACGUAGGGUGCGAGCGUUGUCCGGAAUUAUUGGGCGUAAAGGGUGCGUAGGCGGUUUGGUAAGUCUUGUGUGAAAUCUUCGGGCUCAACUCGAAGUCUGCAUGAGAAACUGCCGGGCUCGAGUGUGGGAGAGGUGAGUGGAAUUCCCGGUGUAGCGGUGAAAUGCGUAGAUAUCGUAAGGAAGACCAGUGGCGAAGGCGGGUCUCUGGACAGUUCCUGACGCUGAGGCACGAAGGUCAGGGGAGCAAACGGG